CACGUAUUGAUGAAAAGCAAAACAAUAUUACGGUGUCUAGCGAUUGGAACAAAACUGUUGGAAAUCUCAUUUUAUUUUGUUGAAAGUAAGAUGAUUUAGAAUUGAAAAGGUAGAUACGUUGGUCGUUGGCCGUUUUCUCUGAGAAGCGAAAAGCUAACGAAUAUCCAUUAUCGAGCAGUGAAGACAAGCGAAUAUGUUGGAACAUUUAUCAACACAAAAAUAUAUAUAUAUAACUCAUCUUUACGCCAUGGAACAUCGAAUAUUUUAUUUUUGACGGAGACACAUAAAGAAGUAAAGACAAAUUGUGUGGAAAUUCUUAGCGGUCACGGGACAGUAGACCUUUCUGAAGUUUUUAGCGGAAAGGUUUUUUGAGAAAUUUUGAACCAGAAAAAAAUCA